UACGUAGGGUGCAAGCGUUGUCCGGAAUUAUUGGGCGUAAAGAGCUCGUAGGCGGUUUGUCGCGUCUGCUGUGAAAACUAGAGGCUCAACCUCUAGCUUGCAGUGGGUACGGGCAGACUAGAGUGCGGUAGGGGAGAUUGGAAUUCCUGGUGUAGCGGUGGAAUGCGCAGAUAUCAGGAGGAACGCCAAUGGCGAAGGCAGAUCUCUGGGCCGUAACUGACGCUGAGGAGCGAAAGCGUGGGGAGCGAACAGG
rnacentral:rRNA from 1 species